rnacentral:rRNA from 1 species
UACGUAGGGUGCGAGCGUUAAUCGGAAUUACUGGGCGUAAAGCGUGCGCAGGCGGCUUGCCAAGUCAGAUGUGAAAGCCCCGGGCUCAACCCGGGAAUGGCGUUUGAAACUGGCAGGCUAGAGUUUGGCAGAGGGGGGGUGGAAUUCCACGUGUAGCAGUGAAAUGCGUAGAGAUGUGGAGGAACACCGAUGGCGAAGGCGGGUCUCUGGGCCGAUACUGACGCUGAGGAGCGAAAGCGUGGGGAGCGAACAGG